rnacentral:tRNA from 1 species
CGGCGAGUGGCCCGGCUGGUGGGCCGCGCUGAUCCAGCUGGUGGGCGGGGUGCUGGUGCUGGUCGGGGUCGCCACCCGGCCCGCGGC